GGUUGGUGCAAAAGUAAUUGUGGUUUUUGCCAUGAAAAGUAAUGGUAAAACCACAAUUACUUUUGCACCAACCUAA
rnacentral:miRNA from 1 species